AGGAUGAGGCUAUUCACGCGGUUGAAGUCGCUCAUCUACCUAUUGUUUAGUAUUUACUUGCAAUACGCACAACCUGAUUUUCAACUCAAUCAAGAGUCAACCUAAUUAGUAGACGAACAAAAAAAACUACUCUUUGCGGCCAGAUGAUGAACCAAAAGGAAAAUUCUAUAUGUACAUAUAUUAUUUCAAGGAAAAUUCUGCUCACAGGAAAUACAUUAUUAGGACAUCAUAGAGGAUGUCACAUUUAUGUGUAGUAAGCCAUGCUUCCUAUUUGCUGUGGUUGUUUUUGGUGUUAUGUUUCGGGGUAUAUAUCUAGGACAAUGAAUCUGAAGUUGGGUAUUUAGAUGGGUUGCAGUUUGUUGAAGCUAAACAUCUAAGCACAUUAAAAUGGGACAUUCUUGCAAUUAUGUUGAUUUAUGGUGAGAUAACCUAGAGAAGUAUCGAUGUGUAUCUUCAGUUCAUAGUUGUCCUGUUUGUUACUACAAACCUGAAAGCUAUAAACUCAAGAUGUUCUUCUCACAUGAAAGUAUAGUCUCUCUUUUGAUUUAUUUAAUUCCCAUUUCUGGCAAAAACUAAAUAAUGUACUGAAUUGUAGUUUUGUAUUACUUAUAUAUUAUUUCAUCAAGCAGUGGUAUGCAUUGGCAUCCAGUGAUGUUUAUUUCUUUUGAAUGUUUGAUAGGUAAUUGCAGGAGUUGAUGAUAUGUAUCGUCCUAUGUUUAUAAAGCGGUAAAGCGAAGCGAGGCGCUAGGGGGGCGCCUCACUGCUUAAGCGAUAAAGCGUAAAGCGAGGCGACGCUUUACAGACUCUGAACCUGAUGGGCAGUAUAAUAGAGCACCAUUUAGUGAGACAUAUAUAUGUUGAUUCUAAUCCACCAGUGAGCCCAUAUAUUCUGAUCCAUCCACUAAGCAGUAAGCAACUAGCCAAUUGCUAUAAGAGAGGCAGUAGCACCUAACAGCAGAGGAGUUGUGCAUAGCAUAACACACAACAGAGCAGAAAAGGCUGGUGCAGAUCUGAGGAAGCUGCUGCCAGAGGAGAGAGGAAAGAGCUGAAAGCCUGGAUAUUUGCACGCUCUGGUUUUGGUUCUCUCUCUUUCUUUCCCCUCCUGUAACUGUUUCACAUGUGAGCCCAGCCCUGUUUCCCUGCCAGGAAUCUCUGUACCCUGCCUGGCAAGUCUAAGGCGUCCUCUCUGCCUUAAAGCGCCAAUCAGGACGCCUAAGCAGGCGCUUCAGACGCUUUAGUGUCUAAGGCGGACGCCUUAGACACAUGUCUAAAGCGAGUUGGACGCUUUGAGCCUGGAGGGCGCUCUAACGCUUAAGCGUCGCUUAAGCGACACUUUAGGGACGCUUUACAAACAGAGGUAUCGUCCAGCACCGUUACUUGAGGUAACCUAUUUAACUUUAUAACCGAGUACAUCAACUGAAUUUUUCCCAUGGUGAGCUAGCUUCAACUGUUCCUGUUUGGGUUAUGUUUAUCAGUAGUUGUAAUAGUUCAUGGUGUGGUCAGUGCCAUUUAACAUCAUAUUCUGCCUAUGGUAUUAAAGAUUUUAGAUUAAUCUAAAAUAUUGGAUUUUAUCUGAAUGUUAGCCAUCGACUGUCAUAUUGUGCAUAUUUGUGAUUCAGAUUUCUUUUUAUGCCAUUGUUCAGACAUUACUCGAAAUCUCCAAUUUGUCAAAAACUUUUCUUGAUUAGAUGAUAAUGUGAUAUACAUGGUGACUGCUAUUAAAUGAGCCCAUCCACUUACGCCCUUAUAAGCGAGCAACUAAUUGAUGGUAAAUCUGUAACCCAUUGUUUUCGACUUAUGCGUGUACUUGUUUCGAAUGGAGCACAUAUUGGCAUGCUCCGUUCAUCUUAGGUGAGUGUGAAUGUUGAAGUGUGAUUUCGUAGCAUUAGGCUUGCAAUUUAAGAGAUCUUCCAAUCCAUUUUUUCUGGAUUUUGGGGAUGUGUACAGUGGAAAAUUAUAGAUAAAUAAGAUUUCUUUGUUCUUAAUUCUUUCAUGUUGGAGAGAGUGACAGUACCUACGUUCCUGUCAGUGGGCUAUAUAUAUUCUCUAGCUGCUUGCUGUUUUCUUUCUUGCGGUAAUUUAUUUGCCAUUUGUAACAGCAAAAUGAUAUGUCAACAUGCUCUGAUAUUUUAUAGCAAUUUUAGAGAUUUCUUCUCAUAUUAAGAUUAGUUCUUGCUGAUUAUUUUUGUGGGACUAGGAAAUGAAGCUUUUUUUUAUUUGUGUUGUACUCUAUUCUUUUUAUUCUGUUGGUUUUGCCUCAUACAACCAUUAUUUUAAUUAAAAAGCAUAUUUCUCUCUCUAUCUCUGACCGCGGCUCUUUUCAUCGCCUUGGCUUGCAGGUCGCCGCUGGAGCCGGACAAGGUAAUGGCUUACCUUACCCGGUGAGGUGCUGAGUAGGAAGAUCGCGCAAGACACCACCACCACCAGGUUGGUAGCCUGUUGCUCAUUCCAUGCAUCUGCUCUACUGCUGGCCUCUGCCUCCUCGUUCUUUAGGAGACGGUACAAGUCAUGGAGAAUUUGUGCAACCUCCGUUCCUUUCCGACGUGUUGUGAGUUGUUGAAGGAGCGAGAGGACGCAAGACUGGGAUCAAAGCCGAGGUUGGACCGGUGAUGGCGGCUGCAGCGGGACGGAUGACACAGACAAAAAAGACAGUUCCUCAUAUUUGUCUCCGAUGAAAAAAGAUCAUCUGGUGACAAACACCUCCUUCUUUUUUCUAUAUGCAUCCUCCCAUGACAAAACUUGUUUCUGGACAGGGUAUCUUGCUGGGGAAAUAGACCCUGUAGUCUAUAUUUGUGCCUGUUAAGACUUUUUAUUGUUAUUGAAAGUGAAGCUAGCUCUGUAUAAAAGGGCUUUCGGUUGAUUAAAGUUUCACUGAAAAGAAUGUUUAUUUCAGUCCAUAUCUUAUUCCAAAUUCCCAUGAUCUAAUUGGUGUUCUAUGCAGAACAACACUUUUGGGUUUUAGGUAAUCUUUGAAUGGUCUCUAAAUGGUAAUCUUGCCUGACCACUGACUUUUUGAGUUUUGCCUUACAAGAGCAUUUCCAUGCAAAUAUAUAACAUGACGAUCUUGGAUUUCUUAUGGGUAUGAUAAUUUAUUUUUUCUAUAUGAUCAUAUGAGGUCAUGUGUAUUUUAUUCGAGCAAGUAAGGCAUAUAUCUGUUUCUUUGGAGAAUUAAAUAGGAGAAUUACUUGAACUCAAGCAGCUUUGUGGCAUUUGUUUAUGUUUAAAUUGUUUACAUUCAGAUUGGUUUCCUAAUUUCUAUUACACGGUUGGUCUCUGCAUUCCAGUUUGGUUUGUCUGUUGUAUAUAUAAUUGUGAGCUUUGUUUACUUUUACUUAUUAGGUUUCUUAGGGUCAUUCCUCCAUUACUGCUGCCACUGCUCCUUUGGUUCUUGGUCAUUGCUCUGACGAAUGUCUCCGUCCCAGGUAAUUUUCUUCUGCCUUUUGUUAUUAUUAUGUGAGUUGUCAUUGUUUUUACAUUGUAUGUUAUAUUUCCUGUUCCUUUGGCUUGGAUAAUCCGUCUUUUAUUCAUCAUCCAUUACUGUUGUUGCUGCUCCUUUAGUUCUUGGUCACAUAUAAGCUGUAAUUGUUUUUACACACUAAUGAGGGCCUUUGGAUAAUCUGUCUUUGAUUCAUUUUUCUUAUCAGAGCUCAGUUAUUGAUAUUUCAAGCCAAGUUUUUUCCACUAUUAUAAUAAAUUGAGGAGUGUUGAGAAGAAUCUAUUUGGGUUGCUCUCAUUGAAUUUCUCAUUAAGACAUGCACUCAGUUCUGGUUUAUCAAGUUAUGUAUAAUAUGUAUAUGUUGAUAUGCAUGGCAUCACUCAAAUGUGUGUAUUCCUGCUGUUGAAUUUUAGAAUCAGCACUCUGUUUUCUUUUCAAGCAUCUCUCGAAACCAUCUUUGAGAAAAAUUCUUUACUAAGUAAUGAUUUCUUCUUUUCUGUAGUAUUCCUCAAGUUUAUGAAUGAACUGAUAGAUGUCAUCUACUGCCUAUUAAGUAGGCUAUGCAAAAUAUGUUAUCAUGUAACUUGUACCCAUGCAUCAGUGAUAAAGCUGAUAAUUUUCAUUUUAUCUCAGGGUUGCUCCGUCCAUUUAUCUCUUUUUAUGUUCAGUAGUGAAGAGGGUUAUAUUCCUAACUAUGCAGAGAUUAUUAAGGGUGUUAAGUUGCUUCUCAUAAGUGAUUGGGACUAUGAGAUCAUUAAGGGGCAUUGAGCCGCUGCCCAGAGGUAUACUUUCUUUUAUUUCUUAUAUAUUUCAACCACUUAGUUUUGUUGUCUCUAAACCAUUUUUGAUGACUCAAGUUGAUCAUACUAUUGUGAGAAUCUUGGCCAGGAUCAUUCUUUAUAUCAUGUUGGAUCAUCUUAGAAUUCGUAGAGCCAGUUACCAUCGAAGGAUGUACUCAUAGAACACAAUCAGUGUAAUUGUGCUUUUCUACACUUCUGCCUAGAGCAAUGGGAUAUGUAUGAUGUAUUGUAUGGCUACCCUCUAAUGCACUACUCAGCCUCCUGUACAAAUGACUUGAUCUAAUUAUUAUGAAAGACAUGUGGAGUGUGUUGCUUUAUAUAUACAUAAUUU
rnacentral:rRNA from 1 species